rnacentral:lncRNA from 1 species
GAUUUGCGCUGGGUUUUGGAACCAGCAAUUGGCCACAGGCACACACACCCCCAAUCAGAGGCGCGCACCCCGCUCGCUCCCGGAACUGUCAUGCGGGCUGACAGCUGGCACACCCUCCUGUCGCCCUCCACCCGCCUGCAGAAAGCCCACUCCCUACAGUCACCUUGACAUUGCUCACCUGCCUGGGCCUCAGCCCAUGACCAAGGAAACUUUUGCCCUCCCUCCCCAGGAGCUCACUUACAGGCCAUCUUCAAAGGUACUGCCUACCUGAACCUGCCUUGUCCCAAAGGACACACUUCAAUCUGGGGAGAGUUUAAAGUUGUAGACAUAUCCAUUUUCAUUUAAGGAAUAUGAAGAUCAGGGAGGCAAAAUAUAGAGAUAUAGAGAGGAAAAACUGAGAGAUGAUCAGAAAUUCAGACGCAUUCGGAAUGAGCACCCUUGACCAUACCAAGAACAAAGACUCUAUAAAAAUGUGAAGUCUUAUUAUUGUUCAUCCAUGUUCUACGUGGGAUCCACCCAAGACAUUGAAAACUGUACAGAACAGGGUGAAAUUGAAUCAGAUCAUUCUGUACUCCUAACAAGGUCCACCCCAUGAGAGACUUGCAGCAGAAUUAAUGACACUGUAUAUUUUCCUCUACUAACAACAACAAGAACAACAACAACAACAAUCUAGGAAAAUCAAAGGCAGCCCGACAUGGAAAAAAACACAAAAUGAAUAUUUGGAUUACAAAUAGUGUGAUGGGAAGAACACACUGCCAAAAGUCCACCUAGUAUGUUGAAAUUACUGUUUCUAGCACAUAUAAGAUUUGCUGCCAAUUUGUACUGACUUCUGAAAAAUACUUUAUCCAUUGUCUUCUUACAUCAGAAUCAACUCCCUAAAUUCUUCAGCACUGGCUUUGUAAACUGGUUUCUGGUCUUUGUUUCUGUCAACUUACCUAUAAAAGGAUACAAAAACUGAAGAACAGAGAGGAGCAGAUACCCUGGAAAGCCGAAAGUUUUAUUGACCAAAGACUGAGUCUCGGAAUGUUUUGAUUGUGGAGUUUAUAGAGUUCAGGCUGAAGUUUUAUAAAAAUAACUUGCAGCAGCAUGGAGGACUGAUGAGAAAGUAGACAGAUGCUGGAAGCAGGAAAACUGAACAGCAGGUCACUGGCCAAGGAGAAUCAAAGAGCUAGAUGCUGAGAAUAAUGCAGCCAUAACGUGAAAUCUUUUUGAGGCUCCGUGGUGGUCUUAAAAUAUAUCCACAAAUUUUCUGACAUCCUCUCUUCAAGAAGUGGAGCUUAAUUCCCUUUCCUUUGAGUGCAGACCACUCACUCUGGGAGAAAGCAACUGGCUAUGUCAUGAGGAAAUUGAAACCACCUAUGGAGAAAGGCCCACAUGGUGAGAAAGUAAAGCCUCUUCCCAAUACCAAAAUUCUGUAAGUCUGCUACGGUGACAUUUCUGGUUAGGAGUCAGAGUGGAUGGGACACUGAGCAAUAAGGUAAGUAUUAGCAUGUGAGUAAGCCCUGGUUUGCCCAAGAUAGUUGUCAUUUAGGCUUCCUGUCCCAAUGUAAUCAUAAGUAGCAUUGUAUUAAUCCAUUCUUGCAUUGCUAUAAAGAAAUACCUGAGACUGGGUAAUUUAUAAAGAAAAGAGGUUAAUUGGCUCAUGGUUCUGCAGGAGGUACAGGAAGCAUCACACUGGUAUCUCCUUCUGGGGAGGCCUCUGGAAGCUUAAGGUCAUGGCAGGAGGCAAAGCAGGAGCAAGGGAGCCAGAGAGUUGCUACACACUUUUGAACAACCAGAUCUCAAGAGAACUCACUAUGGCGAGGACAGUACCAUGAGGAUGGUGCUAAACCAUUCAUGAGAAAUCUGCCCCCAUGAUCCACUCACCUCCCACCAGGCCCCACCUGCAACACUGGGGUUUACAUUUCAAUAUGAAAUUUGGGUGGGGACAUACAUCCAAACUAUAUCAAGCAUCUUUGUCAUUCUCAGAAGUGUCCCUGUUUGGAUGAUAGGUUCCAAUAUCAUGCUACCUAUGGGGUAGGAUGGGGGGACCUAUGGGGUACUAAUCUCACCUAAUAUGUACAUAACACUUCACAGUUAUCUCUUAUAGUAUUCAAGCUGAGAAAGGAUGCAGAUCUUAAAAACAUGUGCUUUGGGUUAUUUAGUUAGUAUAGUGUAUUGGGAGCUCAAGCUCUGGAAUCAGAAAAAAACUGGGUCUGAAUCAAAGUUCAAGAGAUCUUGGCAAGUUCCUUUAUUCUUUGAGCCUUAAUGUGCUUAUUUGUAGAAAGGGAAAACUAAGAGUACCUCUCUCAAAGUGGUAGUUUUGGGAAUUAAAUGAGAUAAGCUAAUUUUUUAAUUUUUGACAUAUAAUAAUUGUACAUAUUUAUGAGGUGCAGAGUGAUAUUUGAUACAUGUAUAAAAUGUGUAAGGAUCACAUUAGGAUAAUUAGGAUAUCCGUCACCUCAUUUAUCAUUUAUUUGUGUUAUGAGCAUUCAAAAUCCUCCCUUCUAUCUUUUUGAAUAUAGAUAAUACAUUGUUACCUAUAUCCACCCCACAGCAUAAUAGAACACUAGAACUUAUUGCUUCUAUCUAGUAACUUUGGAGGUGACCUAGACUUCUAUUAGUUUCCUAAAACUGCUUUAAUAAAGUAUCAUAAACUGGGUGACUUAAAACAACUGAAAUUUAUUGUCUCACAGUUCUGAAGGCUAGGAGUCCCAAAUCAAGGCAAUAGCAGAGCCAUGCUCCCUCUGAAGCCUACAAGGGAGAAUCUUUCCUAGCUUCUUGUGGUUGGCUUGUAGAUGCAACACUACAAUCCUCCAUCUUCACAUGGCAUUUUCCCUGUGUCUCUACACACUGUUCCCUCUGUGCAUGUCUUGUCUGUGUCUGAGUUCAAAUUAUCCCCUCCGUUUUUUUUUUAUUAGGAUACCUAUCAUAUUGGAUUAGGGCCCACCCUAAUGGCCUCACCUUAACUUGACUACACGUGCACCUACAUCUAUUUCCAUAGAAGGUCACAUUCUAAGGUAGUAGGGGUUAGGACUUCAACAUCUCUUUUCAGGGAGACACAAUUUAAUCCAUAAUACUAUUUUUAAAGUAUUUAGUUAUUUGCUUGGCCUGUAAUAAGCUCUGAUUAAUGUUUUCUGCUGAUAUAUCCAAACAGAAAAAUACUUCGUUAGGCCAAAAUCAUAUAAGAUAGAGGGAAUUUUGGUGCAAGAGAAACUGCUAUUUGGCUUUAGAUAUUUAUUUUCUCUUCCUCCACCCUGAAAGAGACUCUGAUUUUGGUCUUGACUGUGGCUACCUGGAAAGAGAACUGAAAUAUACAUCCUUACUUGUAACCGGUUGUGGUCAUACAGCUAAGUUUGACCAAGAAGAAGAUGCAGGUGAACUGUAAGUCCUUAAUGAGAAGGAAAAUAAUGCCUUACCUUUCUUUUGCUCCUUCUCACUGGCCAGAAUGCAGAGACAUGAUGGCUGAAGCUGGAGCUUUUCCCUGAAGCAACCACCUGUUGGAAACUUCAUGUUGAAGAUGACUGAAUAAUAAGACAGAGGGGUCUGGGUCCCUGGUGGAUAUUCCAGAUCUGGGUGUUCGUGGAGAUAUGAGAAAGCAAUAAACUUCAAUUUUGCUUAAAUAGCUGUUACUUGGGGCAUUCUGUCAUUUAUGGACAAAUCUGACCUGGAUUAAUACACCUCCAGCUGGGUACCAAGACUGAUCUAAUAGUCAAAAAGGUUUCAUUCCAUCUAGAUAUUUCUCUAGAACAGGACCUAAAGAAGUUCUUUGACUGAAUUUCUUAUGGAAGUAAUAGGAGAGUUCCUUGUGCUUCAUUAAAUGCUGUAUUGGUAAAUAUAUAUGGUUUACCAUUACAUGCAAAUAUAAUAAGCUAUAAAUCAUUGGAUUCUGAUAUUUUUAGUUUAGUCUCACUAAUGAACUGCUAAGAAAUCUUGGAUAACAUAUCUAGAAUAAUACUCUCUCUUUCCAAUAUGGUAUGGAUCCUUCUGUGUCCUGGGUUGUUGGUCUCAUCCAUAUAUCCUUAAGUGUCUGGUCAGCAUGACUGUCAAAGGUUUACUUUGGGAUCUACAGAGAAUUCUUAGUCUUUGAUCAUUAACGUGAGGACUGGCCCACCAAAACUGAAGCUCUGACUGACUUGAGUGUACUCUCAGCACCUUUCACUUUGCUGCCUGUAUUCUCUGCAUAUGUGAUAGAAAAUAUAAUUUUAAAGUCUGUGUGGAAAAAAGUAUUUCUACUGGAAAUCCAAACUGAAAUUUGAUCCUUCCUUUUUUCAGUUCAUAAUAUUUUCUUUGUAAGAUCACGUACCAUUUCCUGGCUCCAGAAGCUGGAGGAGGUGACUGUUACAGCUUAGUCAUUUUGUCAGAGGCGUUUGAACCAGAGUAACUCCAUCUUGAAUAGGGGCUGGGCAAAAUGAGGCUGAGACCUACUGGGCUGCAUUCCCAGACAGUAAAGGCAUUCUAAGUCACAGGAUGAAAUAGUAGGUCGGCACAAGAUACAGACCAUAAAGACCUCACUGAUAAAAUGGGUUGCAAUAAAGAAGCCAGCUAAACCCCACCAAAACCAAGAUGACCAUGAGAGUGACCUCAGGUGGCCCUCACUGCUACACUCCCACCAGCGCUCUGACAGUUUACAAAUGCCAUGGCAACAUUGGGAAGUUACCCUAUAUGGUCUAAAAAGGGGAGGCAUUAAUAAUCCACACCUUGUUUAGCAUAUCAUUAAGAAAACCAUAAAAAUGGGCAACCAGCAGCCCUCUGGGCUGCUCUAAGGAGUAGCCAUUCUUUAUUCCUUUACUUUCUUAAUAAACUUGCUUUCACUUUACUCUGUGGACUCACCCUGAAUUCUUUCUUGCACAAGAUCCAAGAACUCUUGGGGUCUGGAUUGGUACCCCUUUUCUGUAACAUCUUCAUGCCAGCUAUAACGUGAAUAACACAAUGCAAGACAGUGGAUAAGCAAACUGUGAUUAUCUUCAAAUAAUAUCAGCUUUUAUCACUCACUAAUGAAUAUGCCCAAAACACACCCAAAAUGACAGGGUAGAAGAACCAAAAUUGGGGGCUUGGUACCCUUUAGUAUCUUUUAGUCAACGUGAUCUAUGAAGGUUACACUAGAAUAAGUAAGAGCUCAUUUACCGAUUUUGAUCUUUUUUCUUCUUUUGUUUUAAUGAAGUUCCAUUUGCAUUAUGUCAUCCCUGUAUCAGUUCAAUUUGGCCUGGACAAAGGACAUUGUAUACCCUUAGGAUGGGUUGGCCAGGAGGACCAGAUUCUGGCAAGGUAGUACACUUGACAGAGACUACUAAAGAACAUGCAACCUGGGGCACAGAGUGGAGUGGAACCUUGGCAGUAGAAGUAUUAGGGACAACUGUGACUGUGCAUCCUCUCCCAGCUACAGCAGUGCCUUCUUAUAUAUGAUGUUUGCUAGAAAUACUCUUUGCCACAAAGAAUGACAGUGGUGCUAAAAUCAGGAAGUGGGAGCAAAGGGACCAAAAAGACUUUGUGGUUAGAGACAAGAUUGCCCAUAGUGUAGAAAUGUGAGGCUGGCAAACUUUCCCCACAUCUCUGAAUCUGACUUAAGUCUUUUUCUUUCUGGUCAUGGGUAAUUUUGUUUACUCCUAAAAUACAAUACUCGAUCCUUUAUUGCAUGCCAUAGCUAAGUAUGGUUGUAUCUGUGGGAAUGGUAAGCUUAUUGAGGGAAAGGAUCACGUUUGUGUUGCUAUUGAUGAAGUUUUUUUUUUCCCCGCUGAACGUAGCAUAGUGAUUCACACAGUCACUGCUGCUCAUUAAAAAUGUUCCAAAUGGAAGAAACAAUCCAAACAGGAAUUAGCAAUUAAAAAGCCUUGUUGUUAAGUGACAAUAAGAUUCAUGUGGACAGCAAUAAGGACCAUCAGGAGAACAUUUAAGUAAUGAAAUUAUGAUGUUCAUUUGCCUCUAGGGCCUCUAAAAGACAGAAAAGCCUGGCUCAUCUCCAUUUACUAAUGCAACCAGAAUAUUUUGAAAAAUACAUUUUAGAAAAGAGUGAUACAAAAUUGUGAUACAUUUCUAACCAUUUGACAAAUUAACACUUUGUUUUUAAACCCAAAUGUAGUGUAAUAUUAUUGUUAUUCAUACAAUAAUUAAAGGAUGUGUUAAAAUUAUUUAUUUAUAGUGCUUAAAAUGGGGUGGUGUUAUAAUGGGUCAUAAGUUUAAGAUUAAGAGUGACAUGUUUUAAUUUUAGUGUAUCUAUGCUGCUGUAGGUGUAACUGCCCAGUGGGUUCUUCCUGCCUGCUACGCAAACAAAAUCAAUUCACAGAGACCAUGGCAUUUCAGUAAAAGAAGAGUUUAAUUGACAUGAGGCCAGCCAUUGCUAUGUGGGAGAUGGAGUUAUUAUUCAAAUCAAUCUCUCCAAGAAUUUUAUGGCUAGAGUUUUUCAAAGGUAGUUUUGGCGAAAGGGUGGGGGUGGCGAGGCAAUAGGUGCUUGCUGCUGAUUGGCUGGGGGUGCAAUCACAGAGAUGUGGAAAUGGUCUUCCUGUGCACUGAGUUGCUUCUGGGUGGGGCCACAGAAGCUAGUUUUUGGUGGGUUUAGGUGGGGCCGUUGGUUAUGAAACAUGCAAAAAAACCUGAAAAGAUAUCUCAAAAGGCCAAUCAUAGGUUCUGCAGUAGUGAUGCUAUUUGCUGGAGUAAUUGGGGAAGUUGUAUAUUUUGUAAUCUCCAGAAUAAUGGCUAGCAAUCCUUUAUGUCUGCACCUUAGCAGAAUUCAGGCUCUUCUAUCCUCUUAGCCUGGUGGUCUUUCCUUUGCUUUACAAAAGCAGUUGAGUUUAUGGGAAGGACUAUUAUCACUUAAACUGUAAACUAAAUGUUUCCCAAAGUUAGCUUCGCCCAAGUCCAGGAAUAACUAAGGACAGCUUGAAGGGUUAAGGCAAAAGCUGGGUGGCUAGAUCGGAUCUCCCCCACUGCCAGUAUUUUCUUACUGAUACAAUUUUUACAAAGGUGGUUUCAUAGAUAUAACAUCACUAAUCUGAGGCUUUUCAAACAUUGAAAGCUCAAGCCAAAUGGCCCUUCUCAACUGCCUGUGACAGACCACUGUCUAUCUUAGAAGUGUUUAGUAGAAAUGUAUUAAAAAGAUGCUAAGGACACCCAAAAGACUAGCAAUUGAAGUUAUACAUUAUCCACUCACAUUUCAAAAGGAUUAUCUACUCAUCCUCUAUAAGGAGGGGAAAGAAUGUGCUAGGUUUCACAAAUCAGACCCAAUGCUGAAAUUGCCCCAGUAACAUAUCUGAAAGCUCACAGGCUGUGAUUAGGAAAACAAUGUAGGAUCUAUUGAAUAUG